AGAGGUCUCAAGCUUGAGGCCCUAGCAGAAGCAUUCAUGGCACAGCCUUGUCAGAUUCCAACAAAUCUGUGUAUUCUGCU
rnacentral:ribozyme from 1 species